ensembl:rRNA 5S_rRNA 5S ribosomal RNA
UCACAUGUACUUGUCACCCUGCAGCCCAAGACUGGUUACUCACUGAAGCUAAGCAGGGCUGAGCCUGGUCAGUACCUGGAUGGGAGACCACUAGGGAACACUUGGUUGCUGUUGGAA